rnacentral:tRNA from 1 species
GGAGAGGGGGCUUAAUUAGUAGAGCGUUUGCCUCACAUGCAUAAAACCCUGGGUUUAACCCGGGCCUCCA